UUUGUGAAAGGUUUUUCUGACAGUGUUUUCUUUUUGGUUUUGUUGUUUUCUAUUUUUUUCUUUAACGUGUGGUUUUGUAUUUUCCCUUUACACUCUCGCCACCUUUCGUCCAAAAGUUUUGCCUUUACAUGGCAAAUACCUGCUAAAAGUUAUCGAGCCAUCAAAUUCACGAUUAUUUCAGAUUCCCUUAGCUUAACAAUAAACUUACUCGUAGGUCUUUAUCUUGGCUAGCAUCUUCACUUGAAGAAGAGGGAAUGUGACCG
rnacentral:lncRNA from 1 species